GACCUGCAGCAGCUAUGACUGACUCUAAGAACAGAAGAGAGUCGCUCUAUCUCAGCAUAGGUGUCCUGGCUGUUAGUGCAGGGAGUUUGCUUCUAUCAGUAGAAUAUUACAGUGUUGGUGCAUCUGCUUCUCUUAUACCUCCAAAUGCCCUGGGCAUCCUCCUCCUUAUAUUGGCAGCUAUUUUAGGAUAUGCAGGAAUCCAGAAUAUUCAAGGUCAUGUACCACUGUGGGUCUCAUUUUAUUGGACGGUUUCAGCUCUAUGGUGUGGAUACGGAGUCAACUUGAUACUGAAAGGAACCAAUGUCAUCAGCAACUCUGAAAUGAGAAAUGCUAUAGUUCCUGGCUUAGUAGCAUUUUUCCUGGGGCUGUUUAUUAUUGGUAUAGUGGGGAUCCUUCAAAAGGAAAUUGUCCUUGCUCUGAUAUCUAUCACACUUUCUCUUUCCAGCAUUCAUGAGAUAGUUCUAUUCCAUGAUGGCAGAAUAGGCACCUCAGCAGUGGCAUGUAAUUAUCUGAUUGUAGUAUUACUUGGGAUAUACUUUAUUGGUGGUCGGACUCUCCAUCGUGUUAACAAGAAGCAUGUUAUUUUACCAGGAACAGACAUAACUAACAAAAGCAAUGAGCAGGAAGCCUCUACAGGUUCCAGUAAGGUAGCAUUGAUAGCUACAGGUUUCAUCCUUAACAUGGCCGCCUCUAGUGUGUUUGGCUGCAAACUCCUUGGAAUAACCAGUAGCCUUUUUGUUGGUCAGGUAGCAUGGCUAUGGACGGCUGCUGUCUACCAGACUGUUAUCUGUAUCCUUUCAUAUCGUAAUUAUCACAUGCUAGAGGCCACACAUAUUGCAUUUUUCUCCAUUUUGAGAUAUGCAGAAGGCUACUCUCUACUGUAUCAGUUCUUGAACACUGGUCAGUUAAAUUACCCCCUUUCAUUCUUGGUAGUUUUCACUCUACUAUUUGUUGUCCUUGCUCUUUUUACAAGUAUUCAAAGUCUUAUACAAUCAAUAUAUUUAUUGUUCUAUGUUGCCUACUGCAUUUCAUUAGCUUGUAACCCACAUGGAUUUUUUUAUGGAGGACCACAGGGAGUUAAUAUCGCAAUAUACAUUGUUUCAGCCAUUGUAGUGCUAAUCACUUUAUACAAUGCAAAGUCAUCUAUGACUAUCCCAACAGGUGAGGGUACCAUUAAGAAACUGUUCACUAACAAUAGCAUUUUCAAGCUCCGCAAGGAUAAAGAUAUAAUUGAACCCUACCUUGGUUAUUCCAAGUAUGGAGACGCCGAAAUCCUUGCUCAUGCCUGCAGUAUUUUGGCUGCCUUUGCCAUGACAAUGCCAGGGAACCCUGGAGAACCUUUGGUUACAGUUGUCUUACCAUGGGUUGUAGUUGCUGGAGGAAUUUAUAAUCUUAUUUGUGGGUCAGUAGCUUUCUCCCGUGGCAAGACACUUGAAAGUAGUGCCUUCAUUCUGUACGGAGUAAUGUGGGUAAUAUGGGGAAUUUUUCGUUAUAGUGGAAUCUAUAGCACAAGCAGGGGUUUCAACACUUCCGUAGGAAUUAUAUGUUUCAUUCUCUUUAAUAGCUUUAUUGUUUUCAGCACACUUUUCCUAACUAAAGCCUGGUUUGCGUAUGCUCUCACCUUCCAACUCAUUUUAAUCAGCUUUCUUCUUGAUGCUAUCAAUGCACUUCCUCUGGGCUAUGAUAUUGCUGUUACUAUUAUAUUUGGUCUUGCUGGUUUCUACUUAUUUCUUUCAACCCUUCAUAAUUCCACUUUUGAGGCUCCCCUUAUACCAGUUGGCAGCCCUUUCAUCAAAAUUAGCGGUUUUACAAAUGACAGAUCCAAAUGUCCUCAUCUAAUUUCUACAAGGACCAGCUCAGUACAAAAAAUUGCAGAAAUCAUGAAAAAUGGAGGGAUAUGUGGCAUACCUACAGACACGGUGUACGUCCUGGUGGCAGCUUGCAAUCAGCCAGAAGCAGUGGAGAAGGCAUACAAAACAAAACGUCAAGCUCAAGAUCGACCAAUGUCUCUGUGAAUUUCAAGCCUACAGCAAUUAAAAUCUGCCAAACAUUUGCUAAGUCCUUUGUUAUGGGAUUUCAUGGAAGCAGCUUGGCCCUCAUCCAUCAGUCUUGUUAUCCCAAGAGGACCAUGGUUGGAUGUGUUAGGCGCUCAUGAUUCUGCAAAAUACAUUGGAACACCUCAGAGCAUUGCUAUACGGAUACCAGAUUGUGCAGUGACUACUCACUUAAUUGAUAUGGUUGGUCCCAUCGCUGUCACAUCAGCCAAUCCUUCUGGAGAAGCAGACACUACUCAUCACAAUCAAGUCUAUGCAAAAUUAGGAGAUAAGGUUGAUGGUGUGCUAUGUGAUGGGGCUUCUCCUGAAAAUAUUGCUUCUACUGUGGUAGACUGCACAAAAAUAGAAACUGGUGACAUUGCAUUCUUCAGAGUUGGCAUAGUUCCUAAGUCACAUGUAAUCCGAUAUUGUGAUAUUAUAUUUUUUUUUCUGGCACAAUAUUUCCAUUGUCUACGCGUGGUGUAGUUAUCCAUCAGAAUGCGAUAGACAUAUUCAUCUCAGCUUAUAUUUAAAAUCAGAAAACCUUUUCGCUAAUUCAAAUUAUUAUAUUUUGCAGGUUUUCCAAAUAUUUGACCAAGUUCAGCAGAGGCACAAGAAGGGGCUUGUUAAUAUGGGCUUUUCUGGAUCCACAGAUGAAAUAACACAGGACAUAAAUCCCAACUCUGAAGAUAAUAAAUCAUAUGUUAACAAUGGCUUUACAAUAGAUGAUGAAUCACAGUAGUGGGUUCCUUUAAGAAAUGUUGCAGAAACUGUAUGAUAUGUCAUUUUUG